rnacentral:rRNA from 1 species
GAUGAACGCUGACAGAAUGCUUAACACAUGCAAGUCAACUUGAAUUUGGGUUUUUUAACUUAGAUUUGGGUGGCGGACGGGUGAGUAACGCGUAAAGAACUUGCCUCACAGCUAGGGACAACAUUUGGAAACGAAUGCUAAUACCUGAUAUUAUGAUUUUAAGGCAUCUUAGAAUUAUGAAAGCUAUACGCGCUGUGAGAGAGCUUUGCGUCCCAUUAGCUAGUUGGAGAGGUAACGGCUCACCAAGGCGAUGAUGGGUAGCCGGCCUGAGAGGGUGAACGGCCACAAGGGGACUGAGACACGGCCCUUACUCCUACGGGAGGCAGCAGUGGGGAAUAUUGGACAAUGGACCCAAGAGUCUGAUCCCAGCAAUUUC